rnacentral:lncRNA from 1 species
CCCAGGAGCGAGCCCAUGGUCUUCCGACGCGGGGCCAGGGGCGGGCCCCAGGAUCCGGAGCUUCGGGGGGGCCGAGUCCGGGUUUGGGGCCCGGGAGGCGGGGCCAGUUAGGUCGAGGGUCCCUGGGAUCGUCGGGUCAGGCCUUGGGCUAACGUAGGCACUCUCGCAGUUCCUCCGCCUUCAGGAAGGUCUUUUUAGCAGGGGCCUUACGGGUGCAUGCUUCGGUCCUGGAGGACUUAGGCUAGCCUCCUCUCCAUCAGCGCCACCCGUCUGGGGCCCGAAAGGAGGGAGCUUUCCCUCUGUCCCCCAGCCUUUGGACUGUCACCAAACAAGCCAUUCGUUCACCAAAUACUUUUUAAGCGCCUACCAUGUGCCUGACAAGGGAUAUGUAACGGUGAGAAAAACUAGGUGUGGUCCAGGCCCUUCAGGGACUCAGGGGCUCGUGGAAGAAGUGGAUAUUGAAGUACUUAUCACACAAAGGAGGAUAAAAGUACGAUAGCGAUAUCUACCACGAAGCUGUUGUUCCACACCAGAACCAAAUGAGCGCAAGAUCUGACAAAAAAAAAAGUCCCUGUAUCCUGAGAUGGAGUCACCUGAGAAUCCACAGCAAGUCCUAACCAGGGAUGGGUCUGGGUGAUUAAGGAAGAUUGGCUUCAGAACUGGGCCAGGGGCACUGCUUUGCUUUUGCUGUUUUGAUCAGCUCUCUGCCUGCAGGAGACGAGGAAAACCAAUGGGAACAGGCGCAGGAAUGGGAGGCAGCAGCUGUGGAAGCCAGGGUCUCUGGCAGUCCUUGUCUCUGGGCGGUGAUCCAGAAAGAGAGAGAACACGAUUGUCUCAGCACUGGGUCUUCUUCUGAGUCAUCUUGAAGGAGCAAUUCCAGAGCGUCUCGGUGUUAAACAUCAUGUUGUGAAUGACUCAGUGAUCUCUGACCCAGAGACCUUGGGGAUAAAGGAGGGGAGGUACGGAGAAGCUCUUCGAAUGGAUGUUACCGGCGUGUCAGUGUUCUUUGAGGCCACAGGCUAUGUGUCACCAAAUUGAAGGGGUGGCCUGCCCCUCCACACCUGUGGGUAUUUCUAGUCGGGUGGGAUGAGAGACAGAGAAAAGAAAUAAGACACAGAGACAAAGUACAGGGAAACAACAGUGGGUCCAGGGGACUGGCACUCAGCACACCAGGACCUGCACGAGCACUGGCCUCUGAGUUCCCUCAGUUUUUAUUGAUUAUGAUUUUCAUUAUUUCAGCAAAAAGGAAUGUAAUAGGAGAGCAGGGUGAUAAUAAGCAGAAUGUCAACAAAAAACAUGUGAGCAAAAUAAUCUAUAUCAUAAUUAAGUUCAAGGGAAGGUAUAUGACUGGACUUGCAUGUAGUCGACAUUUAUGUUUCUCUCCACCCAAACAUCUCAGUGGAGUAAAGAAUAACAUGGCAGCAUUACUGCAACAUGUCUCGCCUCCCGCCACAGGGCAGCUUUUAUCCUAGCUCAGACUUGAACAAAUGUACAAUCGGGUUUACACCGAGACAUUCAAUUCCCAGGGGCAAGCAGGAGACAGUGGCCUUCCUCCAUCUCAACUGCAAGAGGCUUUCCUCUUUUACUAAUCCGCCUCAGCACAGACCCUUUACGGGUGUCAGGCUGGGGGACAGUCAGGUCUUUCUCAUUCCAUGAGGCCAUAUUUCAGACUAUCACAUGGGGAGAAACCUUGGACAAAACCCUGCUUUCAAGGGCAGGGCUCCCUGCGGCUCUCCACUGUGCAUUGUGCCCCUGGUUUAUUGUGACUAGAGAAUGGCAAUGACUUUUACCAACUUUACUGCUUGUAAACAUUUGGUUAACAAGGCACGUCCUGCACAGCCCUAGAUCCCUUAAACCUUGAUUUUAGACAACACAUGUUUUUGUGAACUCCAAGUUGGGUCAAAGUGACUGGGGCAAAGUGGCUGGGGCAAAGCUACAAAUGAACAACAUCUCAGCAAAGCAAUUGUUAGAGUACAGGUCUUUUUCAAAGUGGAGUCUCUUAUGUCUUCCCUUUCUACAUAGACACAGUGACAGUCUGAUCUCUCUCUUUUCCCUACAUUUCCCCCUUUUCUUUUUAACAAAACCGCCAUCGUCAUCAUGGCCCCUUCUCACUGGUCGCUGUCUCUCCGGAGCUGCUGGAUACACCUGUAGACUAACAAUAGAGAGGACAGACAUACAAAAAUUAAUACAAAAUUUGCAAUAGUGGAAUUUCCAAUGGUUUUAACCCAAGUGACAGGGUUAAGAUUUGUGAGGCUAUCAACAGCUUUUACCAUUGCCUCCGUUUCUGACACCAGAUUUAACUGGGCUUUUGAGGUUUCAAAAAUUUGUUCUUUCAAUUUAGAAAUAUCUAAGGUAAGAUUAUCUUCUCUUCCUUGUAGAUGGCGUCUAACCAUGUCCCAGUGAUGUUCAGGUUCAUUAUAGGCUCAAGGUUUAAUACAAAAAUCUGACGUAUUCCAGUCACACUGUAACUGAAAAAGAUAUUCUAAGCUCAUGAGCCUAUCUCCCAUCCAAAUAACAGUUUGUCUAAGAUCAUUAAUUUGAUUUGCCAAUUUUUGAUCUAUUUGAGUCUGAGAAUUCCACAAUUUUGAGGAAUUCUUUUGCCAAUUAUUCACAUAUUCUGCAGUUUGAACAGAGGAGUGUAAAGAAAUUCCAGCAGCCGCAGCAGUAGCUGUGACUGCAAUAAGACCCACAAUCACUGCAAUCAAAGUAAAAAUGGAUCUUUUAGAUCUAGUUAGAACUCCUUUUAAUACUUAAGAUAUGUACGGAUGGAGAAGCGUCCCAUGGUCGAUCCAUGGACAAAGGGAUCCACACGCCUUCUCUUGCCCUUACUAACAGAAUACCAUUCUACCAAUCAAAAGUUGAAUCAAUGCAAGUAAACAAUCUACAAUUUUCACUGCUUGUAGUUUGGGAAUCUGGUUUAAUAGCUAUGUUUCCUACAACUAGCAUAUAAGGGGGUUUUACACAACUUUGCAAAGGAAUUUUCAGAUUGUAAUUUAGGUUAAUAGUAUAAUAUGGCUUAUGGUUUCUUGUUCCCAUAACUUGAUUUCCAGACAAAAUUCUAAUGUGGUACGAGGCCACAGUGAGCUUCCAUAAUUCUGGGUGUUCAGGACCAACAACAGGACUAACUAACUUUGGUCGGGGUGAUGAAAUCCUCUUUUCACCCCAUUUCCAUGGAUAGGGUGAUUCUCACCUUCUAUAAACCUAGUCUAGCCUUUUAGUUAAAUCACUAUCAUAGGCCGGAUUAGUGGGCCAGGCAGAUGGAGCCUGUGAACAUGAGUGGGUCUGGCCCAUAGAGUCAUAAUAUAAUUGGCCUCGAGGGGCCUAGUCUAUAAUAGUUCCAAAUUUAUUGUUUUGUAGUACCACUGCAGUAUCAGCCACACAUUCUUCCCAAACUAAGACUUCUGGGUCUUUUGAUUCUUUUGGAAUUUCCUUGGGGCAUGGUUUCCUUUAGGCCUAAAUUUUAAUGAUCUUUGAUAGGAAGAAUUCUGUAAAUGAUUCAUUUGUGACCCGAGUGACAUUCCACUUAUCAUAUGAUAAGUAAAUUUACUGGUGGCACUGACAGUAGGUACUUCUAUCAACCAAUUUUGGAUUGUAGGCAUUAAGCAUCCUGGUGCUUUUCCCAGGCAAAUAGGAGGAUAAUGAUACCCAAUGGAAAUGUUUAUCAUCAUUCCUUCUUCUUCAGGUUGGGCAGGGCCACGGUCAUCUGUGGGGCCUGGUACCCAUUCACUGUUAUUAACAUAUACUUUAAUAGGAUUAUCUAUCCAAGUGACUGCCCGAAUUAAGGGUGGGAAAAUCACAUAGGCCCAGUAAGUAUAGUUAGCUGUAGCGGCUCCUGAAGACAUAGGGAGACUUAACCACCGUUGAUACAAUCAUUAAAGCUGCAAGAAGCAUAUUCUCUGGAGUCUGUGUUACCCUUGUGUUUUCCAGGCUUUUUUCAGCUAACUGUGUCAGCUUCUUUAGCUGGGCCCAGGUCGGCGGCCCCACUUUCUUGGUGGAUGGCAACUUCAUCUGUCCUUCUGAUAUCACCAUUUUGUUCACCCUGCGAGUCGUUGAUGUUCGAUUGCGGGUUCUCUGUCUCUGCGGAGGCGCCUUCCCUUGCAUCUCUGAUGGGUUCAUUAUAGAACUUCAAAUGUCUAGUGGGUAGCCAAACAGGAAGCUGAUUUUCUCCUGGUGAAACACAAGCAAAACCUCCCCCCCAUGUUAUCACCUUACCUAUUUCCCAUGUUUUAUUUUGUUGUCUUUCCACCAAAUCAGUUUUCCCUCAUGUGGGCUGUUCUUUUUACCAGUAAAAUGUUGUUCUGCAGAAGUAAUGGUCUGAUUUCUAUAUAUAUUUAAAAAAUUUAAAGUAUAGAGUGCUAGAUUAAGUUGCAUCUGGGGAGUGUUAUAUUCCUUACUUUUUCCUUUUUUUGUUUAACCAAUUGAGCUUCGAGUGUUCUAUUAGUUGUUUCCAUUAUAGCCUGUCCUUGGAAAUUAGGGAUUCCUGUUGUAUGUGUAAUUUUCCACUGAUUUAAGAAUUUUUGAAAUGCUUUACUACAGUAUCCUGGCCCAUUAUCUGUUUUAAUUUUUUCUGGAAAUCCACUGACUGCAAAACAAGAUAAUAAAUGUCUUUUAACAUGGGAAGUACUUUCUCCUGUCUGGCAGGUUGCGCAUAUGAAAUGUGAAUAAGUAUCAACUGUCACAUGGACAAGUGACAAUUUUCCAAAUGAAGGUACAUGUGUGACGUUCAUUUGCCAUAAUGCAUCAGGACUUAAACCUCUAGGAUUAACUCCUGCCUCUUGAGCGGGCAGGUGUAAGACUUGACACUGAGCAUAAUGUUGUACAACAUUUUUUGCUUGUUUCCAUGUGAUAUCAAAUUUGUUUUUUAAUCCUGUUGCAUUUACAUGAGUCAGGGCCUGAAGUUCUUGUGCUUCCAUGAAGGCAGAUGAUACUAGCAAGUCAGCUUGUUCAUUUGCCUUAGUUAAAGGCCCUGGUAAAUUAGUAUGUGCUCGGAUAUGAGCCAUAUAAAAUGGGAAAUUUCUUUUUCUUACAGUUUGUUGUAACAAUUUAAACAGCUGAUUUAACUGAUCAUCCACACUAUAUUUGAUUAGGGCUGUCUCAACAUCCUUUGUAACCUGUACUACAUAUGCAGAAUCUGAAACAAUGUUAAUAGACUGAUUAAAAUCUUGUAACACUGAAAUGACAGCAACCAAUUCUGCUCUUUGAGCUGAGUGAUAUUGAGUUUCAAUAACUUGUUCUUUUGGUCCAGUGUAAGCCACUUUUCCAUUGCUGGAACCAUCAGUAAACACCGUCAGAGCAUUUUCUAGAGGUUUUUGUCUGGUAAUUUUAGGUAAAAUCCAAGUAGUCAAUUUCAAAAACUGGAAGAUUUUUGCUUUUGGUUAAUGAUUAUCAAUAAUUCCCACAAAAUCAGCAAGACCAAUCUGCCCUGCACCAGAAUUGAUAAAGGCUUGUCUAACCUGCUCCUUGUUUAAAGAAACAAUGAUUUUAUCUGGGUCAUUUCCACACAAUUUUACUAUUCAUAGUCUUGCCUG